rnacentral:tRNA from 1 species
GCCCUGCUAGCUAAGUGGGAAGAGCAUGAGACUCUUAAUCUCAGGGUUGUGGGUCUGUGCCUCACGCAGCUGGCA